AUUGAUAUAUCAGAAAAUGGUGGAAACGCCUCAGAGAUUAACUGUGUGGUUUCCUUUACUCAUAGAGCUACCUGUUAGAUCUGUGGGAAAGAACUACAAGACAGAG
rnacentral:snoRNA from 1 species